UUCCAGAAAUGUUAAUGCUACAC
rnacentral:piRNA from 1 species